UACGGAGGGUGCGAGCGUUGUUCGGAAUCACUGGGCGUAAAGCGCGCGUAGGCGGACCUGCAAGUCGGGGGUGAAAGCCCGAGGCUCAACCUCGGAACUGCCUUCGAUACUGCGGGUCUCGAGUCCGGGAGAGGUGAGUGGAAUUCCUAGUGUAGAGGUGAAAUUCGUAGAUAUUAGGAAGAACACCAGUGGCGAAGGCGGCUCACUGGCCCGGUACUGACGCUGAGGCGCGAAAGCGUGGGGAGCAAACAGG
rnacentral:rRNA from 1 species